rnacentral:rRNA from 1 species
UACGGAGGGUGCAAGCGUUAUCCGGAAUCACUGGGUUUAAAGGGUGCGUAGGCGGCUUUAUAAGUCAGAAGUGAAAGAUUUGAGCUUAACUGAGAAAUUGCUUUUGAUACUGUAGAGCUAGAAUCUGGAGGUCAGCGGAAUGUGGCAUGUAGCGGUGAAAUGCAUAGAUAUGCCAUAGAACACCAAUUGCGAAGGCAGCUGGCUGGGCUUAGAUUGACGCUGAGGCAAGAAAGCGUGGGGAGCGAACAGG